AUGUUCACUGUUAUAUUCAUGUGUCUGUGGCUUUCACUAGGUGACUCCAUGGCAGAUUCAAUAAAGCCACUUUCCACUCAGAAAGUUGUAGAUGAAGGUGAUGAUGUUACUCUGUCCUGCGAAUAUGAAACAAGUGCUCCAGGAUUCUCCCUGCACUGGUACAGGCAAUAUCCAAAAUCUAAACCUGAGUUCCUUUUUUUCAUUAGUCCAAGUGGAUUUAAAACUGACCCUAUGCCACCACGUCUGUCUGCUGAAGUUAAUGAUAAAACUAAACAAGUGGCUAUGAUCAUCUCCUCUGCUGCUGUAUCAGACUCUGCACUAUAUUACUGUGCUCUGGCGCCCACAGUGACAGGAAAUCCAGCUGCACUGUACAAAAACCUUCACACAGUUUUGUUAUACUGA